rnacentral:tRNA from 1 species
GCAGUCGUGGCCGAGUGGUUAAGGCGAUGGACCAGAAAUCCAUCGGGGUCUCCCCGCACAGGUUCGAAUCCUGUUGACUGCG